rnacentral:rRNA from 1 species
UUGGAGGGCAAGUCUGGUGCCAGCAGCCGCGGUAAUUCCAGCUCCAAUAGCGUAUAUUAAAGUUGUUGCAGUUAAAAAGCUCGUAGUUGAACCUUGGGUCUGGCUGGCCGGUCCGCCUCACCGCGAGUACUGGUCCGGCUGGACCUUUCCUUCUGGGGAACCUCAAGGCCUUCACUGGCUGUGGGGGGAACCAGGACUUUUACUGUGAAAAAAUUAGAGUGUUCAAAGCAGGCCUUUGCUCGAAUACAUUAGCAUGGAAUAAUAGAAUAGGACGUGUGG